CUGGCCUUGACUCACCAGGACUCCUCAGAUCAGCUUCUCAAAAUGAGGUGCCCUGCUCAGCUCCUGGGGAUGCUGCUUCUCUGGAUCCCUGGUAAGGGCACAAGGAAGGAGAAUGGGGAGAGAGGGUGAGCUCUGAGCAUCCUCUGCUGCCUGUGUGUAUUGUGUACACAUGAGCAAUGUGCAGUUCCUGUCCCCUGGGUUGUGCAUGUGCUGUUUAAAUCUGUGAGAAAGAGGAAGUUUUAAGAAUAAGCAAAGACUUGUAAUCAGGUGAAGACUAGCAGUAAUGGAGCCAGAUAACAGCAGAUUUCCUAAAGACUCUCUAUGCUUUAAACUAUUUGUGUCUUUUAUUGAAUAUUUUUACAAUGUGAAUCAAAGCUAUGAAAAACAUUUAUGCAGAAAUGAAAAAAGAAAAUACAAAAAUUACAACAUUUAUAUAUAACCAUGUGCUUCUGUCAUAAUUACAGGAUACAAUGGGGAUAAUGUGAUGACCCAGACUCCUCUCUCCCUGUUGGUUCCCCCUGGACAGCCAGCCUCCAUCUCCUGCCAGUCUGGUCAGAGUCUCCUACCCAGUGAUGGCAACAGUUAUUUGAGUUGGUAGAUGCAGAGGCCAGGCCAUUCUCCAAGGCUUCUGAUCUAUAUGGCUUCCAACAGGGCCUCUGGGGUCCCAGAAAAGUUCAGUGGCAGUGGGUCAGGGACAGAUUUCACACUGAAAAUCAGCAGGGUGGAGGCUGAGGAUGUUGGAGUCUAUUACUGCCAGGAUGGUUUAUACUUCCUCACACAGUGGUACAGCUCUAAACAAAAACCUCCCUGCUUGGGGUAGCCCAGCUGCCCAUGUGCUAACUGUGUAGAAGUAAAAUAUACACACUUUGUGAAAGGAACAGGCUGAGGAUUCCGAAGAAUAGUGCACAUCCAAUGCCUCUGGAUAAGGCAUGUCUCAGCUAGACUCAUCACUGCUGUAUUCCUGAUAUUUACCUAAGCAGCAACAGAAUGAACAGGGUACCAUUGUCCUUGGAACAGACAGGAACAGAAGACAAGAGAUCUGACUUGUAGCUCAUCCUAAUUUUCUCAACCUGUGCACAGGCAGUGAUUACAUAAAUCUAUGGUCACAGCCACACAGCUGAGGCUGAGAAUGGCUCAUGGCAAUACAAAACUCAUGCAUUUUUUAAUAUGUUGUUUUUACUGUGGUUUUUGUUGGUCAGUUAAUAGUAUACCUGCAGCAGGAAAAUAUUUGGUAUUAUUUAGACAGUGUGUCCCUCUCCUUCCCAGCCUUUCUACUUCCACUAUUUCUAGCUUAUACCCUUUUCCAGUAUAGGGAAGAUGUAUCACUGAACAUUACUGUUCUAAAGUAAGUAUCUGAGAAAACUAUUCAGUUUUUGUGGUUUUCAGAUACCCAGAUUGUAUGGGAAAUCUACUCAGAAAGAAAGGUCAAAGUGUUCAGUCAUAGUAUAUUACAACAUACCCCAUUCAUAAUAGCCUCAAAAAAAUAUCUGGGAAUCAAUCUAACAAAAGAGAUGAAAGACCUAUACAAUGGAAACUACAGAACACUAAAGAAAGAAAUUGAAGAAAACUUCAGAAAAUGGAAAGCUCUCCCAUGCUCCUGGAUAGGCAUAAUUAAUAUUGUCAAAAUUACCAUAUUACCAAAAGUGUUAUACAGAUUUAGGAAAAGCAAUCAUUAAAUUUAUUUAGAGAAAUAAGAGUCCCAGAAAAACUAAAGCAAUUAUUUGCAAGAAAAGUGAAGCAGAAGGCAUCACAAUACCAGAUCUUAAACUAUACUACACAGCUACAGUAAAAAAAAAAUAUAUAUAUAUAGCAUGUUAUUGGCACCAAAAUAGACUUGUAGAGCAAUGUUAUAGAAUAGAGGACAUAGAGACAAACCCACAUAAUAUGUUUAUGUUAUACUGGACAAAGGUGCCAAAAACAUUCACUGGAGGAAAGAUAGCCUAUUCACCACAUGGUGCUGGUAAAACUGGAAAUCCAUAUGUAGCAAAAUAAAAUUGGACCUCUAUCUCUCAACCUACACAAAAAUCAACUCAAAGUGGAUCAAAGACUCAGGCACUUGAACAGAGUUCCUGCACCUAAUAGAAGAAACAUAGGCCCAAAUCUUCACUGUGUCACCCUAGGAUCUGACUUCCUUAACAAGACUCCUAAAGUGCAAGAAGUAAAAUCAAGAAUUAAUAAAUGAGAUUGAUUCAAAUUAAAAACCUUCUUAGCAAAGGAAAUAAUCAAUAACGUGAAGAGAGAGCCUACAGAUUGGGAGAAAAUCUUUACCAUAUGCACCUUGAUAAAGCAUAAAUCUCUAGGAUAUAUCAAGAACUCAAAAAACUUAACCCCAAAAAAACAAUCAAAAAAUGAGCUACAGAACUGAACAGACACUUCACAGGAGAAAAAUACAAUUGAUCAACAAAUAUAUGAAAAAGAGUUCAACAUCUCUAGCAAUUAAGAGAAAUGCAAAUCAAAUCUACUCUAAAAUUUCAUCUCACUCCUGUCAGAAUGGCAAUCAUCAAGGAUAUAGGCAAUAAUAAAUGUUGGCGAGGAUGUGGGGAAAAAUGUUCACUCAUACAUUGCUGGUGGGACUGCAAAUUGGUGCAAUCACUAUGGAAAGCAGUAUGGAUAUUCCUCAGAAAACUUGAAGUGCAACCAUCAUUUGAUUCAGCUAUCCCACUCCUUGGUUUAUACCCAAAAGACUUAUAAUCAGCAUGCUACAGUGACAUAGCCACAUGAAUAUUUAUAGCAGCUCAAUUGCAAUAGCUAAACUAUGGAACCAACCUAGGUGUCCUUCAACAGAUGAAUGGAUAAAGAAAAUGUGAAAAAUGUGGUAUAUAUACUUAAUGGAAUAUUACUCAGCUUUAAAGAAGAGUGAAUUUAUGGUAUUUGCCAGUAAAUGGAUAAAGUUGGAG
rnacentral:lncRNA from 1 species